GAUGGGGCUGGAGCGAUGGGGAAGAGGGUGUGGUGGGGUCUCCUGGUCCCCGUCCCCAGGAAGCCGGCAGGAGUCUGGAACUCGCAUCUAUCGGGCCCUGACCAUGCUCGGGGCUGCACCGGCUCAGAGAGAAACCCAUCAGUGCAGGCACCGGUGCUUGACGGUCAGCUUGGGCCUGGGGUCCUGACCCUGCACCCGGGCUCUGAGAGGGAGAACUGUGGCGUCCAUUCAGCCAAGCCCGGACAGCUCAGCUGCCAGCCCCCUCUUCCUGGAGCCUGGGCCACCUUCCGGCAGCCCUUGUUCUCCCCAGAGGUCGGAAGCCAGGCAGGAAGACCUAAGAGAGGCUGUUGAGGCCCCAAGGAGGGAGGAAGCCCAUCCCUGCCCUGAGGGCCUGACCCCAGGCCAGGUCUCAAGAGAGGCUGGAAGCCAGAGGCCUGAGGCCAGUCCCGGUGCUGACGCGUAUGUGGUCCAGCUGGGGCCCUGCCAGGUGUGGCCAGUGGACCCCGGGCCACCGGUCUUCCUGCUCCCGCCACUCCUCCCACCACCGGAACUUGCGCUGAGAUCCUGCACCCAACCAGCUGAUGCCUGAGCGGGAAAGGAUUCUAGGGCCAGAUCCUUGCUGGCCUGGCCAAGACACUUUUGGAAACACUCUGCUGUCCCGCGCUGUCUCUGCUAGAGCCUCCUUGCUCCCGCCCCCUUUGCAAGUGUCUGACCUGCAUCCCACUACUCCCGCUCCCUGUCCCUCUGCCUUUCUGAGAGCUGUGCUCCCACGGUCUCCCUUCUCUCCUCACAGCCACCAGCACGUCCCCUGUCCCCAUGUCCAGGUCAGCCCUCAAGGGAAUCUGAACUCCACGACCAGAAGCCACACAGAACUAGCUCAAGUGUCCCCUUCCCAGGACACCGACUCCCAGAGGACCCAGAACCAGACCUUCUGGCCCAAGGAAUGGGAUGAUGUCAGGGCUCCAGGUGGAGACGAAGGCACGUGGGGACUCCCAGGCCCAGACUCAUGCCUUGCCCACCCCCAGGAGACAGAGUUUCAGAAGCAUACCUGGGCCAAGUCUAAAACUCAGUUGGGGACUUUAUUGUGAUGGUGGCAGGUCCACCAGCAGAUACAAAUGUGGGGUGCUGAGUGGCAACACAGGCCACCCCAAACCACCUUCACUCCCUCCCCUGUCCUCAGCCAGUACAGAAACCAAAUGUAGCCCCAGCCCUAGACUCCAGCCCAGGCAGAGUCCAAGGGAGGGGUGUCAGGGUCAGAAGUCACAGGGAGCCCAGUGACUGUCAACGUGGCUGAGAGCAAGGCUAGGGUAGGGAUAGAGCAGAGAAAGGGCAGGGGGUGCAGCCCCAGAUGGCCCAAAGCAGCACAGAGGGGCAAGGGCUGGCAUUCACCAAGUCACCAGGUCCCUGGGGAGAACAGAUGGUGCCUGGAGUCCUGCACGGUGGUACAGGCGGAGGAGCCCUCGGGAGCUCUCAGCGGCAGGCAGCACCCCAGGAGGAGUGGGACUCCUGCCCUGAGGCUGAUCCCACCUUCAAGGCUGCCAAGUUCUCAUGGGAGUGUCCUCCGGGAACGUCUCCCAGCCCCCAACGAGCAGAGCCCAAGAAGAGUGGGACUCCUGUCCUAAGGCUGACCCCAGUUUUGGGGCUGCCAGGUUCUGAUGGGAGUGUCCUCCAGGAAUGUCUUCAAGCCCCCAGUGGGCAGAGCCCAGAAGGGUCUGAGGGCAUGAUGGGCAUCAAUGGGAUUUUGGUUGUGCCAGGGGUGGGCAGGGCCACCAGUGAGCAAAGGCUGAAGGGGUGGGGGCUAUGCUGCCACCACGCCCCUGCGAGAGGGAUGUGGAGGCAGCCUCUGCGUACGCCCAGGCCAAAUUCCAGGAAAGCGGGACCGGCCGCUGGAAGAGGGGUGAGCCCGGGAGCAUCAGGAGACGCCCCGAGGGGCACAGACAGGAGAGGUGCAGCUGCUGGCCCAGCCAGGAGCCCAGGGCCUCCCUAUUUGCAGUUCUCCUUCCGGAACCCUGGAAGCCAAGGGUGCCAACGGGUCGCGUCUGUUCUCCACCCUCAUCACAGUAGGAGACACAGGGCAGACCCCCAGGGAUUUUUUUUUUUUUUUUUUUUUUUUUGAGACGGAGUCUCGCUCUGUCACCCAGGCUGGAGUGCAGUGGCGCGAUCUCGGCUCACUGCAAGCUCCGCCUCCCGGGUUCACGCCAUUCUCCUGCCUCAGCCUCUCUGAGUAGCUGGGACUACAGGCACGCCCGGCUAAUUUUUUUGUAUUUUUAGUAGAGACGGGGUUUCACCAUGGUCUUGAUCUCCUGACCUCGUGAUCUGCCUGCCUCGGCCUCCCAAAGUGCUGGGAUUACAAGCGUGAGCCACCACGCCCGGCUCUCCCCAGGGAUUUCUGAGCCUGAGGUGGCAGGGGCCCCAGGCCUGGCUGGUGCCUGCCCUCGGCGGUCCCGGGUGAAGUGGAACGGGGACAGGCAGGGCUCUGAGAUGGGCUGAGGUCGCCCCCGCCACUCACCUUUGUCUAGGUCGAUGUACUUAGCAGGCAGAGGGCUGUGGGCCAGCUCUGUCCUCUCCUUCAGGAUGUUGUUUUUGUAAUCUGCGGGAGGAGAGCAGGCUGAGGUCCCCCCUCCCAGGAUGCACUUCCCAGCCCCAGCCUGGGAGUCGCGCCUGUGCUUUCGUGUCCCAGCAACUGCCUCACCUAGCUGGAUGUUCUCACUCCUGUAAAGCAUCUGGUCCCCUGCAGCCACAGCGAACUCCGCCAAGUUCACAUCCUUCCUGGAUGGCGAGGGUGGGAGGAGAUUACAGCUGGGUGGGGUGAACGGGGCCCUGGUCCCCAGGAGGGCCGGGAGGGGGGCACUCACCCCUUUGACUUUCCCGACUUCUGGUCCGAGUAUUCGUAGCCUGGGAAGGAGACUCACGUUGGGGGCAGUGCCGCCCCUUCCGCAGGUCCCCCAGCCCAGAGGACCGCCCUCCCGCCCACCUCAGUCUCCUGGGGCCGCUGGCUCUGCCGGGGCAGCCUCACCUCCGCGGCGCCUGCGGGCGGCCAGGAGGACAGUGACCAGCAGCAGGAUGAAGAGCAGCAGCGUGGCCAGCACGUAGCCCAACUGCUGGAAGAAGUGGGCUCGGCUCUCAGGGACGAUGACGUUGAUGACGUUGUGGCCGCGUGCCAGAGUGGGGUCUGCGGGGGACGGGGCGGCGUCAGGUACCAGCAACACCUGCGCCCCGACCCGGGCCACGGCCCCCGCUGGGGUGGGCUCCUGCCUUCCCGAGUCCCAGGGAGGCCUCCUUCACCUGGACCUGGGGCGCCGCUGUGGCUGGAGCCGUUGCCCGGAGAGCCCCGGGGGGGCGGCUCCGCGUGGGGUUCGGCGACCGUCAGGUGGAAGACGCGGCGUUCGUGCAGGCCGCAGUAGUGGUGGUGCAGGUGACAGGAGUAGGUGCCCUCGUCGGCGGCCUCCAGCGGCUCGAUACGCAGCGAGAAGUCACCGCGCUCAAAGGCGUCCGCGCCCACGGCCACGCGGUCGCGCAGAAAAAGGGGCCCGUAGGCACGGCGCUCGCCCGACGCGUACAGGUCCAGUAGGCGGUCCGCGCGGUCGUGCGGGACCCCGGGCGGCUGCCGGUCCCAGUGCACCACCUGUUGAGCCUCCUCCACGUGCCGGUCGGUCCACACAUGCCCGCGGUUCACGCAGGUCAGGAGCGCGGGCGCGCCGCGCUCCACCGCCAGCACCUCCUUCUCGCCGUCCCAGUAGGCGGGGGUGGCCGGGGCUGCGGAGGGGGCGCGGUCAGCGGCGCGGGGGUUGAGGGUCCAGGGGCAGGAGCUGGGGGUCGUGGGGGAGGGUAAGCACUCACGGCCGUCGGUGACCUCCAGGCGGACGGCUAGGCUCUCGUAGAGGUGGCAGUAGUGGUGGUGCAGGUUGCAGGUGUACAGCCCCGCGUCCGUCUCCUCCACCGCUGCGCACCCAGGAGGAAGCCACGCGUGAGCCUCGCAGUGCCCCCGAACCCGCGGCCCCGGACCCCUGCCCCGACCCCGCGGCCCCGGUCCCCGCACCGCGGAUGAGCAGCGAGAAGUUGCCGUCGUCGAAGGCCGAGUCCGAGAGCUCCAGGCGGCCGCGGUCCCGCGCCUCGUACACGCGCUGCUCGCCCGCCGAGUACAAGUCCAGCAGGCGCCGCGCGGGGCCGCCCCCGGGGCCGCGCAGGUCCCAGUGGAGCACGCGCUGGCGGUCGUGCAGCCGGUCCUGGGUCCACACCAUGCGCGGGCUCUGGCAGCGCAGCACCGCCCGGGCGCCCGCCGCCCAGCUCACCGCGGACUCGGACACCACGGAGCUGCCAGCAGCGGCGGGCACCGAGGACCCUGGGAACUCUGAUCAUCUUAGGCUGCCUCAGCACCCACUUGGAGUCUAGGCUGGACUUUCUCUGAGCGGAAGCGGGGCUGUCACCCAGGACAGUUUCCAGUUCACAUCCACCUUCCUCGAGCUGACCGACCCGGACGCCCACCCUACGCACUGUCCCCUGGUGACCACCCCCCGUGUCCCCACGCCCCACAUGGAUUGUGCAGCCGAACUGUGGAGUCUCCCCCCCCCACCCCCCCGCCGUCAGCAUGGCCCCACGGGGCUCGUGCCGCUUGCCUUAAACCCACCAGUUAAAACUCCCCCACCAGGUGCGGUGGCUCACACCUGUAAUCCCAGCACUUUGGGAGGCCAAGGCAGGUGGAUCACCUGAGGUCAGGAGUUGAAGACCAGCCUGGCCAACAUGGUGAAACCCAGUUUCUACUAAAAAUAUAAAAAUUAGCCAGGCAUGGUGGUGGUAGGUGCCUAUAGUCACAGCUACUCGGGAGGCCGAGGCAAAAAAAUCACUUGAACCCGGGAGGUGGAGGUUGCAGUGGAGGCGAAGAUCACGCCACUGCACUGCAGCCUCCUUGGCGAGAGAGAAACUGCGUCCAAAACAAAAAUUUCCUGAGGGAAACCUGUAUGCAGAACGCCCUGAUCCCAAUAAAGGGUUGGCCUGGGGGUCCCUGUCUCUCUCCACUUUCCCUGGCCUCCCAGCAGUCUGUGCACCCCAGGACCCGUGGGUGAUAAAAGCUGUUUCUUUUUUUUUUUUUUUUUU